UACGUAGGGCGCAAGCGUUGUCCGGAAUUAUUGGGCGUAAAGAGCUCGUAGGCGGUUUGUCGCGUCUGUCGUGAAAGCUUGGGGCUUAACCCUAAGUCUGCGGUGGAUACGGGCAGGCUAGAGGCAGGUAGGGGAGAACGGAAUUCCCGGUGUAGCGGUGAAAUGCGCAGAUAUCGGGAGGAACACCGGUGGCGAAGGCGGUUCUCUGGGCCUGUACUGACGCUGAGGAGCGAAAGCGUGGGGAGCGAACAGG
rnacentral:rRNA from 1 species